rnacentral:lncRNA from 1 species
UCUCAAGAAAAAAUCUUUCAUGAUCCAUUCCGGAAUUGGAUAGAGAAUAGUUGGGAUAUUCCAUUCCACUGGGAGGGAGAGGCGAGGGUGACAUCAGAAAUAGGAUCGUCGAACGGAUAGCAGCAUCGCAUUGAGAAUUGACUCGUUGGAUUAACCACUUAGACGGCUACGACUGCACAACGACUAUAAAGGUGACUAAGGAUAACACCCUUGUUUCUAGCCAGCUCCUCUAGUUGAAAGAGAAUCCCCCUUUCCUUAUCUAUCGUCAACUGACUUAUGAGCUAACCUUGUUAGCCUCCUAUUCAUAGUAUCUACUCUAGUGUUUACUUGUGAUGCUUACCUUAAAUUACCUACGGUAAUUUACUGAGUUAUAACAAUUUUUUACUUGUAAACCUAUGGUAAUAUAAGGAGUUAUAACAAUUAUACUAUAGUUUUGCCUGUCUCAGUAAUUGGUAACACCUUAUCAUAUUUCCAAUUUCCUUGGAUGUAGUUAUAGCUGCUUUCGUUCUUUCUUUCAUUCCUAUCUUACUUAAGUGCUUCCAUGGCGAGCGAAUAAGAUACUUUCUAUAUCGAUAGAAAAAAUAGGUAUGAUCCAUAGGCUCUCAUAUGGCUUUAAUAAGAAAAGUAUAAGUCUUGUAAUAGGGAUGACUUUUAGAGACCUACUCAACGGGGAUAACCUCCCGGGUAGAGAGAAAGGUAAACGGGAAAAUGGGGAAACUAUACUUAUGUCAUUCCUGAGUGAAUAUUCUUUAUAUAAAAUAAAAGGUCACCCAUAAGAACUGUUCUUGCCGGACCGUAGUCCCCAUCAAUCAAAGUCUCCGUUGGCCUAUUCCAAUCCUUUCUCCCAUCUCCCUUGAGAAAAACUAUUCCCUACUUUCGCUUACGUUGGUUUGGCCUACGAGUAGUUCUUUUCAGCUUCCUUACGCGUUGCGUUGGUUUGUUAGUU